AGGAAGAGACCAUCUUCUAUCCUUAAAGAUUGAAGGCCUUCAGAGAUAUCAACACCCGCAACAAUAUAUUUGGUGCAAAUCUGUCGAAAAGUCAUUGUUCCCGCACGGUACGAGUGUAUGGCCUCUGGACAUGGAGUAAUUGAGCUCGAGCUCAGAUGAGCCCGCUAUCUCGGUCGUUGGUACGCGCUUAGAGAUCCGUGCCCUUGCCGGCAUGCGGUGCGCCAGAAAAUCGACUCCUGUAGUGAAAUACGUACGGAUCUGACGAAAGGUUGGACGGACAUCGCCCGACGGUGAGGUGAGCCGUGGACCAGAAUCCACGUUCCCGUCUGAUCCAUGGCUCAGGAAGUUCGCUUUCCAUCCAGUGGAUCCAGACCCGAGAUGAAUGCAGGGACGAGAGUGUUCUUGGCUAGGGCGUGGUUCAGUUGGAAGUUGCGGACUACUAGAUAGAGGCAAGGAGUGCCGGCGACCAGACACCAUGGGAUUUCUGAUACAGCUAAUCGGCAGAUCCAGUGUGGGGAAAAUUCUGGGGUGGGGGAUUAGGAGGUGGACCUGCAGGCGGAGCGCGAGGCAGCCGGCGAUGGACAGCGGCGGCGGACAAAUAUUGUUCGCGCACGAAGCUGCGGCCAACAGAAGGGAGAGCUUGCCGCUAUGUCGGAGCUGUCAACGGGGAAGAUGAAUCCCCAAGCACUGGGGUGGAACAAAAGGCUUAGGAUUGGUGCUGCCGCACCUAGCAGAACACCAUUAGUGCGGCUGGAUAGAGUAAUUGUAGGGCUCGUUUCCUUUCUGGAGCUCCUGGAACUGGAAAAUUGCUUUUACCGUUAGUGCGGCAUGAUAGAGUUAUUGUAGGACUCAUUUCCUCUCUGGAGCUCCUGGAAGUUUCAAUUGUGAAAUAGAGGACCUUGUAGAAGCGAAGCCGGGGGUAGGAGACGACGCUAUUGAUGGAUUUCUUAAUGCAGCCUAUCAAUAGAUUCCAUGUGCUUUCAGAGGUGGAGGACAAUGAAGCAUCCAUGGAUCUGCGACCCUACACGGUGGCUACUUUGGUGGGGGAGCUGGAACAAGCGUCAGUGCCCGUUAAGCUUAGAUCUAGGAUGAAGAAGGAAGAACUUAAGCCAGGUGUCCAAGCAGUCGACCGGCAAGAUGAACCUGCAAGCCCGGGGUGGACUAGGAGUAAGAGAUUAGUGCAUAACUGAAAUCCCCUAUUGAUUUCCACUUUCCUGGUAUACGUCAUUGACAUGGAAGUAUGUGGUGUUCAUAGUUAGUCUACUAGCAGUCUGCAUAUAGAUUUGGGAGCUCUACGGGUGACUUGUGUUGAGAAAAAUAAUUCAUUUUCUUCCACUUGUGAACUGUCUGAAAACACCACUUCAGUAAAGCUUGAUGUCUCGGUUUCAGUUGUGGGCA